rnacentral:rRNA from 1 species
UAAGGAAUAUUGGUCAAUGGGCGGAAGCCUGAACCAGCCAUGCCGCGUGCAGGAAGACGGCCCUAUGGGUUGUAAACUGCUUUUGUCAGGGGAUAAACCUAUCUACGUGUAGAAUGAUGCCUGUACCUUAUGAAUAAGCAUCGGCUAACUCCGUGCCAGCAGCCGCGGUAAUACGGAGGAUGCGAGCGUUAUCCGGAUUUAUUGGGUUUAAAGGGUGCGUAGGCGGUUUAUUAAGUUAGUGGUUAAAUAUUUGAGCUAAACUCAAUUGUGCCAUUAAUACUGGUAAACUGGAGUACAGACGAGGUAGGCGGAAUAAGUUAAGUAGCGGUGAAAUGCAUAGAUAUAACUUAGAACUCCGAUAGCGAAGGCAGCUUACCAGACUGUAACUGACGCUGAUGCACGAGAGCGUGGGUAGCGAACA